AAACCACUUCUCUCUCUGUCCACCGGGUAAUGGAGGCGUGUACCAUAGGCACCCACCCCGCACACGCCAAAGUCCCCCACUUGCCCUCUGGGCCAGGGCACCCCGGUCUACUCGGCUAGGCCCUAGUGCAAGUGCUAGGCGCCCAAGUGCCAGGCGCCCAAGUACGAGAGUGCCAGUGCGAGACUACGACGAACCUUUCGAGGCCCUGGGGAAUAUGUGGCCCACGCAUCCCCUCUGCACUCUGCACUCUGUGCACUUCCCUACUUUCCCUACUCUCCCUAUUCCCUUAUUCCCUAUUCCCUAUUCCCUUAUUCCCCUACUCCCUACUCCCCUACUCCCCUACUCUCCACGCCCCCACUCUCCCACUCGACGCUCUCCCCCGCCCAGCGCCCAGCGCGCGCCGCGCCGCGCCCCUUCUGCAUCCCUUUAUCACCGUGUGCACGCCCUUUCCUCCC
rnacentral:misc_RNA from 1 species